AUCAGAUUAGGGACUGUGCUUUCAUUGGACCACAGGAAGUGGUGGUCUGGCACAACCACACUGUGGAGACUCACACAAGUGUGUGUGUAUGUGUGUGUGCGUCCCACCACACAAGAAAGACUACUGUCAGUGCUACACUUUAACAGUAGCGUACAUGCUGAAAAUUCUCAUUUUGUGCACGUUCCUCUGGGUUUGACAACAACAAAAAAAACAGAUUCCUCGUACCUGUAACAUACCUGGCAACCUAAAGAGUAUGACGGAGGAUCCAGAGUGUAUCCUGGGAACGCUGGGCGUAAAAGACAGCAUAAAGCCCCAGACAACACUGGCAGUAUUGUUGAAUGGGAUAAUAUCAGCUUCCACUGCACAGAUGACAUCCAACAAGGGUUCACCACACAUCCACACUUCUGUAUGAAACUCUACAUGCCCCAUGAUAGUAUUACCUAACCUAGUAUUAACACCUACACAUCUUAUGUAAACCUUCAUAUUAGUGUAAAAUCAUUAUUAAAUCAUCGCCAACAUAUAAUAUUACCCAAAUUGAACUAAAGCACCCAUAAAGCAUUGACUUAACCUCCUAGAAAAUCACUCAAACUGAGAAAAAUGCAAAGUAAAUCCUUCUACAAUGUCUCGAGGGCUGAAGCAUUAAUGUAUGUUUCUUUUAAUUUUGGGGCCUGUUGUUUGUCAACGUAUGUCUUUGUCUGUUGAUUGUAAUAACAUAUAUACCUCUUUCAUGUGUGUUUCUUUUUUUGUAUUGAAUAGAAAAGAUUUACAAUGGAAUGUAUAUGUUUGGAAUCCACGUGAACAACUGGGUCUUCUUGAGGCAAAUCAUUGAUCAUGUGGUGAUACCAGUCACGAGUCCAGUCAAAAAUGGAUCAGUGAUUCUAAGCCCUAUACAGUUUUUUGUAUUGAAAAAAGAAAGAAAAAAGUGUGUGACUUAUUUUGACAAAUGUGUGUAAAACUCACUGAUAGAUAGAUAGAUAGAUAGAUA
ensembl:lncRNA